CCAUCUUGAUCUUGAAUUUUCUUCUAGAAUCUGAUUUUCUCUCCCUACCUUCUCUAUCUACCUUCUCUCUCUAUGAUUUUUUCUUUAUAAAAUUUUUUCUCUCUAGAUUGUUUUACUUAUUAAGGGUUUUCAAGAUUUUUAAAAAGAUUGAUAAUGAUUUUGAAUGACCCUAGUGAAGGAGUCCUGAUCUAUGAUUAUCGGAUAGCGUGCCUACAUCC
rnacentral:lncRNA from 1 species